rnacentral:rRNA from 2 species
UGCGGAAGGAUCAUUACCGAGUGUAGGGUUCCUAGCGAGCCCAACCUCCCACCCGUGUUUACUGUACCUUAGUUGCUUCGGCGGGCCCGCCAUUCAUGGCCGCCGGGGGCUCUCAGCCCCGGGCCCGCGCCCGCCGGAGACACCACGAACUCUGUCUGAUCUAGUGAAGUCUGAGUUGAUUGUAUCGCAAUCAGUUAAAACUUUCAACAAUGGAUCUCUUGGUUCCGGCAUCGAUGAAGAACGCAGCGAAAUGCGAUAACUAGUGUGAAUUGCAGAAUUCCGUGAAUCAUCGAGUCUUUGAACGCACAUUGCGCCCCCUGGUAUUCCGGGGGGCAUGCCUGUCCGAGCGUCAUUGCUGCCCAUCAAGCACGGCUUGUGUGUUGGGUCGUCGUCCCCUCUCCGGGGGGGACGGGCCCCAAAGGCAGCGGCGGCACCGCGUCCGAUCCUCGAGCGUAUGGGGCUUUGUCACCCGCUCUGUAGGCCCGGCCGGCGCUUGCCGAACGCAAAUCAAUCUUUUCCAGGUUGACCUCGGAUCAGGUAGGGAUACCCGCUGAACUUAAGCAUAUCA